UCCGAUAUGGUGUAGUGGCUAACAUUAUCGCCUCUCAUUCUCUGCGCGCGAUAGCCCGGGGUUCGAUUCCCCGUGUCGGAA